GUCUGUGGCCUGCCUGCACACGGUCACCAUGUCAGCACCAAGAGAGACUCCAGGAAGCCUAGAGGACCAGUGAUAAAGACUCCGUGAGGCACAGGGGCCCCUCCUUCAGAAGGAAGCAGGUAUGUGGCCCCAUUUCACCCGGAAUGGGAGGUGGCAAGAAGAAACUAGAAAAUCUGUCUCGGGUGGAUGAGGUCACAUGAUCUCCUGGGGCUUCCAAGACUUCUACCUGCCAGGUAAAACUGAGGGUACUCAGUGUCUUGGCUCAGAACUUCCUCAAAGGAAUCAAGAGGCCUGUUUCAAAACAUGCUAACAGAUCUUAGGUACCAGGAGGGAAAGGCCAGCGAAGAGACAGAAAUAAAUAAAUGUGGUCUGAAUGUUAAUGACCCCACAGGCUCAUAUAUUUGCAUAUUUAGUCCCCAGUUAGAGGAAGUAUGUUGCCAGGGGGUGGGCUUUGAUGUUUCAAAAGCACGAGCCAGGCUCAGUCAGUCUCUGCCUCUCUCAGUCAGUGUCUGUCUGUCUCUGGCUGCCGCCUGGGGAUCAGGAUGUAAAGUUCUCAGCUACUGUUCUAGUGCCAUCUGUCCCAGCACUCUUCAUCAUAAGGAUCAGGGUGGAGUAAAACCUCUGAAACUUUACGCAAGCCCCAGUUAAACCCUUUUCCUUCCUAAAAGAGCUGCCUUGGUCAUGGUGUCUCUUGACAGCAAUAGAAUAGUGACUAAGACAACAAAUACAUAAAUUCAAUUAAAACAUAAG
ensembl:processed_transcript 8030453O22Rik RIKEN cDNA 8030453O22 gene